rnacentral:rRNA from 1 species
CCCGGGUCUUGUACACACCGCCCGUCACACCAUGGGAGCGGGUUCUGCCAGAAGUAGUUAGCCUAACCGCAAGGGGGGCGAUUACCACGGCAGGGUUCGUGACUGGGUG